rnacentral:rRNA from 1 species
AUUGAACGCUGGCGGCAGGCCUAAAACAUGCAAGUCGAGCGAGCGGCGGACGGGUGAGUAAUGUCUGGGAAACUGACUGAUAUAGAGGGAUAAAUACUGGAAACGGUGGCUAAUACCGCGUACCUCACGAUGUGACCAGAUGGGAUUAGCUGGUAGGUGUGGUAAAGGCUAACCGGGGUGACGAUCCCUAGCUGGUCUGAGAGGAUGACCAGCCACACUGGAACUGAGACACGGUCCAGACUCCUACGGGAGGCAGCAGUGGGGAAUAUUGCACAAUGGGCGCAAGCCUGAUGCAGCCAUGCCGCGUGUAUGAAGAAGGCCUUCGGGUUGUAAAGUACUUUCAGCGGGGAGGCGUUACCCGCAGAAGAAGCACCGGCUAACUCCGUGCCAGCCGCCGCGGUAAUAC